rnacentral:rRNA from 1 species
ACGGAAGGCAGCAGUGAGGAAUAUUGGUCAAUGGGCGCGAGCCUGAACCAGCCAAGUCGCGUGAAGGAUGACUGCCCUAUGGGUUGUAAACUUCUUUUGUUCGGGAAUAAAGGAGCCUACGCGUAGGCUUUUGCAUGUACCGUUCGAAUAAGCAUCGGCUAAUUCCGUGCCAGCAGCCGCGGUAAUACGGAAGAUGCGAGCGUUAUCCGGAUUUAUUGGGUUUAAAGGGAGCGUAGGCGGCCUUUUAAGUCAGCGGACAAAUGGCAGCGCCCAACGCGGGCCUGCCGUUGAUACUGAUGGGCUUGAAUACACACAAGGAAGGUGGAAUUCGUCGUGUAGCGGUGAAAUGCUUAGAUAUGACGAAGAACUCCGAUUGCGGAGGCAGCCUUCUGGAGUGCGAUUGACGCUGAGGCUCGAAAGCGCGGGGAGCAAACAGGAUUAGAUACCCUGGUA